UACGGGGGAGCAAGCGUUGUUCGGAUUACUGGCGUAAAGGGCGCGUAGGCGGCCACCGCAAGUCGACUGUGAAAUCUCCGGGCUUAACUCGGAAAGGUCAGCCGAUACUGCGGGCUAGAGUGCAGAAGGGCAACUGGAAUUCUCGGUGUAGCGGUGAAUGCGUAGAUAUCGAGAGGAACACCUGCGGCGAAGGCGGGUUGCUGGCCGGUACUGACGCUGAGGCGCGAAAGCGUGGGAGCGAACGGG
rnacentral:rRNA from 1 species